rnacentral:rRNA from 1 species
AUACGGAGGGUGCAAGCGUUAUCCGGAUUUACUGGGUUUAAAGGGUACGCAGGCGGUAAUUUAAGUCAGUGGUGAAAGCCUACAGCUCAACUGUAGAACUGCCAUUGAAACUGAAUUACUUGAGUAUGGUAGAGGUAGGCGGAAUACAACAUGUAGCGGUGAAAUGCAUAGAUAUGUUGUAGAACACCGAUUGCGAAGGCAGCUUACUAAACCAUUACUUACGCUCAUGUACGAAAGCGUGGGGAGCGAACAGGAUUAGAAACCCCAGUAGUCC